UGUAUAUAUGUAUAUAUGCAUGUGUGUGUGUGUAUAUAUAUAUAUACACACACACACACACACACACACACACACACACACACACAUAU
rnacentral:miRNA from 11 species